GAAAUGCCGAUUUAGGCUGAAGAAAGUUAAUGGGAAAGUGGAGAGCAGCACAUAAUUACCCAGUUUUUAAUGGUUUUGAAUGGUACGCCAACAAAUAAAAGCCCUGCGACAUUGAAAAUGCAUAAUACACGCCGUUCUUUUUGGCUUGGAGAUCUGAGACCCGGGAAUCUGAACUGUGGAAGUCAAUUUGUCUAUAUAAUGACAAGCGACGUCAUUGCCAUAGGUUUGAGCGAAAGUGUAACAAUCAGCUAAACGUGCGACUCCUGCAAUUAAUUUCAUAUAAAAGUAAAGCUCCCGGUUUUACCUCCAACCGGCAUUAUGUACAUACAUAUGUACAUCGCACGUAAACCGAAUCGAAAUCUGGAGUUGGAACUUCUCUCGGAUUUGUGCUCAUUGACUUCGAGAAGUUGGUUCCCGUAUAUCAUGGAAGAAUUUUUAUUCCCUAUCAUCUUACUGACGCAAAGCUAUGUAAGCAAUCCAACAUCAGCAAUCAUCUAUAUUGAAAUGUUUAUUAUUUUCCCAAAAUUAUGUUAAGAACGCUCACCAUAAUAUAUGUACCUUUGCUGAGAAUAAGUUUGAUCGUGUCUUUGUAUCUCUGUAUGGGACAUUCUGACCCUAUAUA